GGCGUAUUGAUAAUAAUUUUAGGUCAGACCUGCCCAAUGAUACAUAUUAAAUGGCCGCGGUAUUUUGACCGUGCAAAGGUAGCAUAAUCAUUAGUUUUUUAAUUGAAAGCUGGUAUGAAAGGUUUAAUGAAAAGAUUACUGUCUCUAUUUAAAUUAAUUAGAAAUUUAUUUUUAAGUAAGAAAGCUUAAAUAUUUAUAAAAGACGAGAAGACCCUAUAGAGUUUUAUAUUUUUAUUAGUAAAAUUUUAUUAAAUAAUAAGUAUUUUUAUUAAUUAAAGUAUUUGGUUGGGGUGACAGAAAAAUUAAAUAAACUUUUUUUGUAUAAUAACAAAAAUUAUUGAAUAAUUGAUCCUUAAAUAAAGAUUAAAAGAUUAAAUUACCUUAGGGAUAACAGCGUAAUUUUUCUUAAGAGUUCAAAUCAAAAGAAGAGAUUGCGACCUCGAUGUUGGAUUAAAAAAAAUUAUUGGUGUAGUAGCUAAUAAAUUAGGUCUGUUCGACCUUUAAAAUUUUACAUGAUCUGAGUUUAAACCGGCGUAAG
rnacentral:rRNA from 1 species